UACGGAGGGUGCAAGCGUUAUCCGGAUUUACUGGGUUUAAAGGGUGCGUAGGAGGGUAGGUAAGUCAGUGGUGAAAUCUUCGAGCUUAACUCGGAAACUGCCGUUGAUACUAUCUAUCUUGAAUACCGUGGAGGUGAGCGGAAUAUGUCAUGUAGCGGUGAAAUGCUUAGAUAUGACAUAGAACACCAAUUGCGAAGGCAGCUCGCUACACGAAUAUUGACUCUGAGGCACGAAAGCGUGGGGAUCAAACAGG
rnacentral:rRNA from 1 species